GCUUCGGUGAAAGAAAUAAAGCAACCCCGGCUUUUGGCAGUGGAAGAGCCACAGGAGAUUUAUCUUCUGCUAAACCAUAGAUUCACGUGGAGUGAACUUACUCAAGUAGACGUUUUCUGGGAUCUCAGUUUGAGCGAUGGGAUAGUGAAGACAGUAAUGAACAAGCCACUGGUUCACUUCCAUGCCUUCUGACUCGUCAAAUAUUCGUAAAACCGCCAUCCUUGAAGAGGAAAUCAAACCAAUAUGCCAAGCCGUGAUCUUGUAAAUUUGAGCUGUUUCCGGACAUCGAGAGGGUUAAGCUUGGAAGUCAAGCCUGUAUUUAUCAGCUACAGAUUGUAAAACCCAACGCCAACGCAAAAAAGAUGCAGUUUGACAUCCCCCGGAGAGGAGACUGUGGCUUUAUUCCCUGAAUGGAAAACCAGCGUCAAAAUUUGUCAAUUGUUAAAACUUUUCCAGGAACUUUUUUGUGUAUUGAUACAUUCCCGUUCUUACUUGCUUUUUUUUAAAUCUCUUUGCUGCCUUAAAAAAAUAUCCUCUGCCCAAUCUCUUAAUAGAUGUUGAGUCAUUCUGACUAAACUUUAGUAUGGACAACGGAGCGUUCAAGAAGAGGAGAACUUGCAUUGUAAAUUUAAGCAAUAAGCCGGUAGAGAAACUUUUAACCCUUAAGAUAGCUCCCAUAAGUGACCCAGACAGAAUUUCCCCUUACAAUAUCAAUACAACAUCAAGCAGACAAGUGUGGAGAGUAACUAGAAGAAAACAUCGAUUGAAGGAUUAUUACAGUCGAUCCGAUAUCAUAUUCUCCGAACUAACAUCAUGAGAAUUGUAUCGCAGAAAGUUAGGAGAAUUACUGAUGAGAUCUUGAGAGUGACUAAAAGGAUUGAUUGGAAAACGUUAUUUCGGUAGCUGGUCAAGAAAUCUAACGGUGUUCCAGGCAAGUUUUUUUUUUAUCGAUUUAUCAGUCUGUAACAAUCAAUUGUAUGCAACUUUGCAGACCAGAGUUUUCUUAUGGUAGGCUUUUACAAUUAGGCCUUUAUAGAUUGUGCUAGCAUUAUUUUUGGCAUAAUUUGA